rnacentral:rRNA from 1 species
GAUGAACGCUGGCGGCGUGCCUAAUACAUGCAAGUAGAACGCUGAAGGAGGAGCUUGCUCUUCUGGAUGAGUUGCGAACGGGUGAGUAACGCGUAGGUAACCUGCCUGGUAGCGGGGGAUAACUAUUGGAAACGAUAGCUAAUACCGCAUGACAACAGUUAUUGCAUGAUAACUGUUUAAAAGGGGCAACUGCUCCACUACCAGAUGGACCUGCGUUGUAUUAGCUAGUUGGUGAGGUAACGGCUCACCAAGGCGACGUUACAUAGCCGACCUGAGAGGGUGAUCGGCCACACUGGGACUGAGACACGGCCCAGACUCCUACGGGAGGCAGCAGUAGGGAAUCUUCGGCAAUGGACGGAAGUCUGACCGAGCAACGCCGCGUGAGUGAAGAAGGUUUUCGGAUCGUAAAGCUCUGUUGUAAGAGAAGAACGAGUGUGAGAGUGGAAAGUUCACACUGUGACGGUAGCUUACCAGAAAGGGACGGCUAACUACGUG